CGCGCGGAGCCUAGACCCGCUGCCGGGCCGGGGCUGGGCCGGAGCGGCGGCGCCUGGAUGCCGGCCCGGGGCUGGGCCGGAGACUGGCGCCCGCCCCGAAGCGACUUUCGGUCCCCGACCCGCUCCGCCUGACCCCUAUGAUGAAGAGGGCGUCCACUGGAGGUUCUUGCUGUCGACAUCUUUGACAAGUUCAACUUCACGGGAGCCAGAGUCCCAUGGUUCGACGCCAUUCAUGAAGAAUUCCCCAGGGAGCUGGAGUCCUCCAUCUCCUUCCCAGCCAACUUCUUCAAACCACCUGAAGAAAAAGGAAGGCCCCCUGGUAAGGCCAGCCAGCCGGAGGACCACCCCGCAGACCACACGCCCAGGGCCUGGCACCGAGGGGGAGGCCCCGAUCAGCAGGUGAAAGCGACACCCUGAUGACACUGGCUAGUUCACCUUCACUCUGGUCAUCGUUUACUGUACCCCGGGGCAGCUCCCGCCUGAGCCCUAUGACCCCAACCGCCGCAGCCUCUGGGCUGCCUCACUGGCCCAUCAUUAAUACGUCGAUGGUGAGCGCACUGGUGUACAGCGAGGGGGCUCCACUUCCGAGACCCCUGGAGAGGCCCGUCCUGGUGGAGUUCACCCUGCUGGAGAUGGAGAAGCGAACCAAGCCUGUCUGUGUGUUCUGGAACCAUUCCCUGGCGUAAAUGUGAUGCCGGGAGUUCUGCAUCUUCAUGUGAGGGCUUUGCCAAGACACAGAGAACCCGCAGGGUUGUUGGCUCAGCGGCAGAUCGUCCCACGGGGACAGUCUCUUGUGGUCUGUGUCUCCCCCUUCAGCCCCCUGUGGGGCAGUGAGCCUCCUGCUCUGCUUCUGUGGGUGCAUCAGAGCCCCCCCAGAUGCCCACACGCAGACGCGCACAGGCCUGCACGUGGAAACACAGACAUGCGCACACGCAGGCCCACACACAGACGCACACAGAGCUGCACGUGGAGACACGUGCGCACACGCAGGCCCACACGCAGGCCCACACACAGGUGCACGCGGACCUGCACGUGGAGACACAGAUGUGUGCACAUGCAGGCCCACACACAGGUGAGCGUGGACCUGUGUGAACAGAUGCGCGCAGACCUGCACGUGGAGACACAGACAUGCAGGCGCACAAAGAGAUCCCUCAAGGCUGACACCCAGGAAGGGGCCUCUCACUUGUGGGACUCCCGAGAUGCAGUGGCCAACACGAGUGUAGUGCCCAGUUCACUGCUGGAUAAGACAGAGGCCUGUUCUGGUCACACAUGGGAGGCAGAACCCAGAGACUGGGCCCAGGAGCCCUUCUGCUGACAGUGGGAACUCCCAGCUACGUGUGGGGGUCCCCAUACCAGACAAAGGUCCCUGACCUUAGUCUUGCCCGAGAGGCCGACACAGCCCAGCUUUGGGGUCUGGCUUUACCCACAAGAGGCCACACCUUGCCACAGCACUGUUUAUCUGGCCUGUUUCAGAAGCACCGUCAGAGUGGCGAAGGCAGGAGGUGGUGCACGAGAGUCUACGUUCUAGCAUCCAUUCAAGUGAGGGAAAGGCGUUUCGUACUUAGAAAAAUGCAAAAUUAAUGAUUCUCACCCACACAUGAGACUGUGGAUUCACCCAUGUAUGAGAUAGUGGAUUCAGAGCCAUGCUGUGGCUCUCAUCUGCUGGGAGCCAGUAGUGUUUGUGCUUUGGUUUUGCUUUUUUAGCUACAUGGUUUAUGUGAGGUGCGGACUUACUUGAGUUGCUCUGUCUUUACAGGGAGCUUGCUUUUUCUCUGCUGGUUUGUUUUCACUUUUGCUGUCUCUGUUUAGAAGAAAACAUUAGAACUGGGGUGUGGUGGAAGGAUGGGAGCACAAUCUGGGAGGGGAAGACCUGCUCUCUCUCCACAUACCAGGAGGGAGUGGCAGGAAGGGGAGACACUGUGCCGGACUCAGGGAGUCAAGAGCGUGAGCACCCCCAGGCUUCAAUCUGCUGAACGUUGUGCAUCUGGGGGCGCCCGUGCAGCAGGAACACUCUCCCCAUCACAAUUCCUCUGGGCACAGUGGAGAGCCAUGAGUGGGGGCUGUCCUGGGGGCUGCGCUAUGGUGAGUGAGCCCACGCCAGGAGCCAGUUCAGCCCAGCCUCAUUCUUCUCCUGCUUCUUUGCUUUCCAAGUUCUAGUUCAUAAGCAACCAGCACAGUACCUGGAAUGUAAGAGGCGCUUGGCUUAUAAAAGAGAGAAGAAAGGAACCCCUUUCACCACGAGGGACGUCAGGCCCAGCUCUCUGUCCCGGGCAUUCAUCUUUUUUCCGGCAAUUAGCUUCAGCUCUAAUGACCUGCUGUCUGCUUUAUGUUGCACCUAUGAUUUCCAGAUUGUAAAGUUUGUGGCAAAUGUAUUAACGUUCACAUCCCAUUUACAGAUUAGCAAACUAAGGAUCUGAGAGGUUAUGUGAUUUUCCCAGUCUGGCGGAGGGCAGGGCCCUGUCAGAAGCCGAGACACACCUCGUAACAGCUUGUUAUUUGGGGCUUCCCAUCAGUGAGGCAGGAGUCAUAAUGGGGCCCUGGCUUCUGGGCAAUUCCCAUAAAACAUUGUGCCACCUGAAGAUGGAAGUGUCAGAGGAAGGCGAGAUGUUAUUUCUGAAAGCAUCUACCCUCAGAAAGAGACAGAGGAGUGCAUCGCAGCUGUGUGAACCCGGGGUGGUGGUGGUUCCAGCAGCGGGGCACGUGGUGGACGCAAGACGGCCCCGUUUGAGUUUUGCUGCUAGGUGACAUGUAGAACUUGAACUUCAGAGGGUGCUCCUUGGAGGCCCUGAUGAGAGAGACACAGAAGGGAAGGGAGACUGUUCCCAUGGUCCUGCCUCUGCGGCAGCGAGCCUGCUGCUCUUGCAGCUGGGUGGCUGUUCGGUGCAGGGGGCCGGUGAGGAACACGGUGGGGAGCAGCCUGCGAGGGCGCCGGGCUUUCAGCACUCACUAUACCUGCUGUUUGGUUUGGCCAGGAUGGCCUGGGAGUCCCCAGGGCCGGGCAAAGACUGCCCCCAACAGACAUGGGCGGAGGGAACCGUCUCACCCCUGCCUCUUCUCCCUUCUCUACGCAGUGUCAGUGGGACGGGAGGGUGGUCUGCCCGGGGCUUCAAGCUCCUGUCCAGGAACCGGACCCAUGUCGUACGCCAGUGCAGCCACACGGCCAGCUUCGAGGUGCUCAUGGACGUCUCCAGGUGUGAGAUGGGCAUCUUCUUGUGGCCACUAUGCCCGCUGAGCCUACCCCCAAACCUGCCCCUCCUCAAACUAAAUCUUCCAUUCUAAGCGCUUUGAACGAAGCAAAUCAACCAAUUAAAAAAAUAUAUUCCAGGA
rnacentral:lncRNA from 1 species